ACUUGAUGAUGUUGGCAUUUAUGCAGAAGGUCCCUAAAAUGCUUCAACAUCUCAAAAAAUUGCUCACCAUCAAUAUGUGAAAAACUAGUGAUGGCCUUCCUUAGCU